rnacentral:rRNA from 1 species
CAGCCGCCGCGGUAAAACCAGCACCUCAAGUGGUCAGGAUGAUUAUUGGGCCUAAAGCGUCCGUAGCUCGUUUUGUAAGUUUUCGGUUAAAUCCAUGCGCUUAACGUAUGGGCUGCCGGGAAUACUGCAGAACUAGGGAGUGGGAGAGGUAGACGGUACUCGGGAGGAAGGGGUAAAAUCCUUUGAUCUCUUGAUGACCACCUGUGGCGAAGGCGGUCUACCAGAACACGUUCGACGGUGAGGGAUGAAAGCUGGGGGAGCAAACCGGAUUAGAUACCCGGGUAGUCCCGGCUGUAAACGAUGCAGACUCGGUGAUGCACUGGCUUUUGGCCAGUGCAGUGCCGCAGGGAAGCCGUUAAGUUUGCCGCCUGGGAAGUACGUACGCAAGUAUGAAACUUAAAGGAAUUGGCGGGGGAGCACAA